rnacentral:rRNA from 1 species
AUGCUCCAUGACCUCCGGAUCAACCUCACCGCGGACCAUCACUACCUACACUACUGGCACGAGCACGAUGAUGAAAACCGCUUCCUAGAAAGGAAGUUCAGUGCUGACCGUGAAAAGUCCAUCGAUCUUCUAACCCGCCAUCGAAACUCGAAGCCGACGACGAUGUCACCCAAAGGAAAUGACGCCGCCAACUACGAUGAGGUCUCCGAGAUCCCUGGCUUGAGCCAGCACUCGUUCGACUGCUUAGGGAGCUCUUUGGCGAGAGUGGCCUUGCAGUUUCGGCUUGGGGCGGCGAAUUGUCUUGGUGCCAAGCUGAUAAAAUUCUUUGCCGAGAAUGCCAUGGGCUAG